GUGGGGAAUAUUGGACAAUGGGGGCAACCCUGAUCCAGCCAUGCCGCGUGUGUGAAGAAGGCCUUUUGGUUGUAAAGCACUUUAAGCAGUGAAGAAGACUCCAUGGUUAAUACCCAUGGACGAUGACAUUAGCUGCAGAAUAAGCACCGGCUAACUCUGUGCCAGCAGCCGCGGUAAUACAGAGGGUGCAAGCGUUAAUCGGAAUUACUGGGCGUAAAGCGAGCGUAGGUGGCUUGAUAAGUCAGAUGUGAAAGCCCCGGGCUUAACCUGGGAACGGCAUCUGAUACUGUUAGGCUAGAGUAGGUGAGAGGAAGGUAGAAUUCCAGGUGUAGCGGUGAAAUGCGUAGAGAUCUGGAGGAAUACCGAUGGCGAAGGCAGCCUUCUGGCAUCAUACUGACACUGAGGUUCGAAAGCGUGGGUAGCAAACAGGAUUAGAAACCCCGGUAGUCC
rnacentral:rRNA from 1 species